AUUGAACGCUGGCGGCAGGCCUAACACAUGCAAGUCGAGCGAGCGGCGGACGGGUGAGUAAUGUCUGGGAAACUGCCUGAUGGAGGGGGAUAACUACUGGAAACGGUCGCUAAUACCGCAUACAAUCAGAAGUGCCCAGAUGGGAUUAGCUAGCAGGUGGGGUAACGGCUCACCUAGGCGACGAUCCCUAGCUGGUCUGAGAGGAUGACCAGCCGAACUGGAGCUGAGACCCGGGCCAGACUCCUACGUGAGGCAGCAGUGGGGGGAAUUGCACAAUGGGCGCAAGCCUGAUGCCGCCAUGCCGCGUGGGUGAAGAAGGCCUUCGGGUUGUAAAGCACUUUCAGCGAGGAGCCGUUGCCCGCGGAAGAAGCACCGGCUAACUCCGUGCCAGCAGCCGCGGUAAUUC
rnacentral:rRNA from 1 species